rnacentral:rRNA from 1 species
ACACUCCUGCGGGAGGCAGCAGUGGGGAAUUUUGGACAAUGGGCGAAAGCCUGAUCCAGCAAUGCCGCGUGAGUGAAGAAGGCCUUCGGGUUGUAAAGCUCUUUUGUCAGGGAAGAAACGGUGAGAGCUAAUAUCUCUUGCUAAUGACGGUACCUGAAGAAUAAGCACCGGCUAACUACGUGCCAGCAGCCGCGGUAAUACGUAGGGUGCAAGCGUUAAUCGGAAUUACUGGGCGUAAAGCGUGCGCAGGCGGUUUUGUAAGUCUGAUGUGAAAUCCCCGGGCUCAACCUGGGAAUUGCAUUGGAGACUGCAAGGCUAGAAUCUGGCAGAGGGGGGUAGAAUUCCACGUGUAGCAGUGAAAUGCGUAGAUAUGUGGAGGAACACCGAUGGCGAAGGCAGCCCCCUGGGUCAAGAUUGACGCUCAUGCACGAAAGCGUGGGGAGCAAACAGGAUUAGAAACCCCGGUAGUCCCAUGAU